rnacentral:rRNA from 1 species
UACAGAGGGUGCGAGCGUUGUUCGGAAUUAUUGGGCGUAAAGCGCACGUAGGCGGCUUUGUAAGUUAGAGGUGAAAGCCCGGGGCUCAACUCCGGAAUUGCCUUUAAGACUGCAUCGCUAGAAUUGUGGAGAGGUAAGUGGAAUUCCGAGUGUAGAGGUGAAAUUCGUAGAUAUUCGGAAGAACACCAGUGGCGAAGGCGACUUACUGGACACAUAUUGACGCUGAGGUGCGAAAGCGUGGGGAGCAAACAGG